rnacentral:ribozyme from 13 species
GGAAAGGAAAGAAGUAAAAAGUAAAAGAGAGCGAGCAAUCGGCAGCGCAAUCGAUCAGAAUCGAUCAUCGAUGAUCACGGUCAUGGGCAUGGGUUUUGUUUUUUGUUUUUUGUUUUGU